rnacentral:rRNA from 1 species
CGUAACCCUGAUGCAGCAACGCCGCGUGGAGGAUGACGCAUUUCGGUGUGUAAACUCCUUUUAUGAGUCAAGAAAAUGACGGUAGCUCAUGAAUAAGCACCGGCUAACUCCGUGCCAGCAGCCGCGGUAAU